CUUUCCGUCUGCACCGCGAGAAACCGAAAUGUCUCCGUGCCGUGUUUAUUACGUGUUUAGAGCCGUUUGUACGAGCGCACACGCACUGUAAACCGAAACGGAACGCUAUCGCGGUUAUCUGAUUCGUCGCGACUCGCGUGCGCAACAAAAAUCGACGGUAAACGUUGGCAGACACCGCAAAAACACUUUGAUGAUGCUAUCUUCCGAAAGAAACAAAAAAUAAAUAAUACUUAUCUUUGAGGCUCACUGCGGCAGAGUUUCUAUAUCUCAAUCGGUCAUCGGAACACUCAAAACG